GAUUAACGCUGGCGGCAUGCCUAACACAUGCAAGUCGAACGAGACCUUCGGGUCUAGUGGCGCACGGGUGCGUAACGCGUGGGAAUCUGCCCUUGGGUUCGGAAUAACUCGCCGAAAGGCGUGCUAAUACCGGAUGAUGUCGUAAGACCGAAGAUUUAUCGCCCAGGGAUGAGCCCGCGUAAGAUUAGGUAGUUGGUGAGGUAAAGGCUCACCAAGCCGACGAUCUUUAGCUGGUCUGAGAGGAUGAUCAGCCACACUGGGACUGAGACACGGCCCAG
rnacentral:rRNA from 1 species